CUACUACCGAUUGAAUGGCUCAGUGAGGCCUCCGGACUGGCCCAGAGAAGUCGGCAACGACCACUCAGGGCCGGAAAGCUGGUCAAACUCGGUCAUUUAGAGGAAGUAAAAGUCGUAACAAGGUU
rnacentral:rRNA from 1 species